AUGGACUCAAUUCUUUCUAAUGGAACUUGGGAACUAACUGAUAGACCAUACGGUUGUAAACCUGUGGGCUGUAAGUGGGUGUUCAAAAAGAAGCUAAAGCCUGAUGGUACUAUUGAUAAGUACAAGGCGCGGCUAGUGGCCAAGGGCUACACUCAGAAAGAAGGCGAAGAUUACUUUGACACCUAUUCACCCGUUGCUAGAAUGACCACCAUUCGAGUGUUACUUUCCUUGGCUGCCUCUUAUGGUCUUAUCAUUCAUCAAAUGGAUGUAAAGACAGCUUUUCUCAAUGGAGAGUUGGAAGAGGAGAUCUAUAUGGAUCAGCCUGACGGGUUUGUGGUAAAGGGAUUUGUCAUUAACGAGGCUGAUAGGUGUGUUUACUAUCGCCAUGGUGGGGGCAAUAGUGUCAUAUUAUGUUUGUAUGUGGACGACAUACUGAUCUUUGGUACAAACAUUAAUGCAAUUAAUGAGGUCAAGUCUUUUCUAUCAAAAAGUUUUGACAUGAAAGAUCUGGGAGAAGCCGAUGUAAUUCUAAACAUCAAACUUAUUAAGGAUGAGAGUGGGAUUACAUUAACGCAAUCUCACUAUGUUGAGAAGGUCUUGAACCGAUUCGGUUUUAUGGAUAGCAAGCCUUCUCCAACACCUUAUGAUCCCAGCGUGACACUCAGAAAGAACAAGAAAGAAACGAGAGAUCAAUUAAGAUACUCUCAAAUUGUCGGUUCACUCAUGUACUUAGCUAGCGCUACAAGACCAGAUAUCUCUUUUGCUGUGAGCAAACUGAGUAGGUUCAUGUCCAAGCCGGGUGAUGAUCAUUGGCAUGCACUAGAAAGGGUCUUGCGCUAUCUGAGAGGUACUAUGAGUUACGGAAUUACUUAUUCAGGGCAUCCUGCUGUGCUAGAAGGAUAUAGUGAUUCAAAUUGGAUCUCCGAUGUUGAUGUACUUUACGCAACAAGUGGGUAUGUAUUUACUCAUGGUGGUGGCGCAGUGUCAUGGAGGUCUUGCAAGCAAACCAUAUUGACGAGGUCAACUAUGGAAGCAGAAUUAACUGCUUUGGACACAGCUACUGUUGAGGCAGAAUGGCUGCGUGAGCUCUUGAUGGACUUGCCGGUUGUUGAAAAACCUGUACCGGCUAUUCUUAUGAAUUGUGAUAACCAAACGGUUAUCGCUAAAGUGAACAAUUCUAAAGAUAAUGCAAAGUCAUCAAGACACGUGAAAAGACGUUUGAAGUCUGUCAGGAAGUUGAGAAACUCCGGAGUAAUAACUGUUACGUAUAUACAAACAGACAAAAACCUGGCAGAUCCCUUUACAAAGGGACUAUCACGAAAUGUGAUAGAUAUUGCAUCGAGGGAGAUGGGUAUGAGACCCAUA
rnacentral:rRNA from 1 species